UACGGAGGGAGCUAGCGUUAUUCGGAAUUACUGGGCGUAAAGCGCACGUAGGCGGCUUUGUAAGUAAGAGGUGAAAGCCCAGAGCUCAACUCCAGAACUGCCUUUUAGACUGCAUCGCUUGAAUCCAGGAGAGGUGAGUGGAAUUCCGAGUGUAGAGGUGAAAUUCGUAGAUAUUCGGAAGAACACCAGUGGCGAAGGCGGCUCACUGGACUGGUAUUGACGCUGAGGUGCGAAAGCGUGGGGAGCAAACAGG
rnacentral:rRNA from 1 species